AUUGAACGCUGGCGGCAGGCCUAACACAUGCAAGUCGAACGAGUGGCGGACGGGUGAGUAAUGUCUGGGAAACUGACUGAUGGAGGGGGAUAACUACUGGAAAAGGUAGCUAAUACCGCAUACCAUCGGAUGUGCACAGAUGGGAUUUGCUAGGGGGUGGGGUAAAGGUUCACCUAGGCGAAGGUCCCUAGCUGGUGUGAGAGGAUGACCAGCCACACUGGAAAGGAGACACGGCCCAGAUUCCUACGGGAGGCAGCAGUGGGGAAUAUUGCACAAGGGGCGCAGGCCUGAUGCAGCCAUGCCGCGUGUAUGAAGAAGGCCUUCGGGUUGUAAAGUACUUUCAGCGGGGAGGCGUUACCCGCAGAAGAAGCACCGGCUAACUCCGUGCCAGCAGCCGCGGUAAUUC
rnacentral:rRNA from 1 species